UUCACCAUUAUCACAACCAUCUUCAACUGCUUCUCUUCUACCCUAAACCCUAAAGUUGCAAUUGCAAUUUCAAUUUCAAUUUCUCAUACAAGCAAUCACGAGAGAGAGAAAGAGAAAUGGCAUAUGUUGCUUUAACUUCUUUGAUGGCAACACUUGAGCUUCAGUUUCUGCAACCCAUCCCAAGGGUGUCUCUUCAUGAUGAUGAUCACCAAUAUGUCUUACCUUUAUUCGAUUUCCUUUGUUUUUUGCGAGAAUUUCUAGAGAUAUACAAUUUCCGCAGUGCACCCAGAGAUUUGGAAAUCAAAAUCAGAGACUUUGCACUUGAGGCGGAAGACAACAUUGAAACACAAAUAAGCAACUUUCUUCUUCUACUGUCCAAACACAAUAAUCAAGAAGAAGCUUCCCAACAACUCUCUCGAACCUUGCAAGAAGCAGCACAAAACGCAGCACAGUUGGUGAACAUUACCAUUCCAGUAAAAAAGGGAGAAACAGAGAGAAAGAUGACUUGCGAGGCUUUAACUUCUCUCAUAGGGGAGAUUCGGGUUGACUUUGCGGCCUCGGGGAAAAUAAGGGCGGAUCUUGUUCCAGCCACACUCAUCGAAUCUCUCAUAGAAAACCUUUCUUCUUUACGAGAAUUUCUAGAGAUAUCCAAUUUUCAUGCUGCUGCAGUCAAAGAUUUGGCUACCAAAAUCAGAGACUUUGCAUUCAAUGCAAAGCAGGACAUCACUAACCAAUCAAAUCAUCUUCGCCAUUCCAACAAACUCCUCCAAACCUUGCAAGAAGUAGCAGACAACACAGCAGAGUUGUUGAACAGUAUCAACAACACAGCCAAAGAAUUGGAAGCUGAUGAUGAUGAUACCAAUCAAACUCAACACCCACCUAUUCAUAUUCCUUGGUUAAAACAUAAUAAUGCAUCCCAGUCUGUGAAUGUGAAUGUUAAGGGGUCAUCCUUGAGAUGCUCUGAGGACACAAUAAUGGUGGGACGUCAAAAUGAUGUUACUGCAAUAAUGGAUCGACUCUUCAGUAGCUUUGGUGGUAUAGAUGUAAUCCCAAUUAUUGGGAUGCCCGGCAUAGGAAAGACUACUUUGGCUCGAAGGAUUUUUGAAGAUCAAUUAGUUUCACUGCAUUUCGAGGUAAAAAUCUGGUUUACUAUGCCUAAAAAAUGCAAUGAGAUCCAAAUCCAAAGAGACCUCCUUCAGUCAAUUACACAAGUAGUUGAGCAACAUGAAUUUAAAGAUGGAAGAACUCUAUGUGAGAUGGUGCAGGAAUGCUUGAAAGGCAGGAGGUAUCUAAUUGUUUUAGAUGACAUAUGGAGCGCUCAGCAUUGGAAAUAUAUCAAAUCUUGUUUUCCUAGUUAUUAUCAAGGAAAUCGCAUAUUGCUGACCACCUGGUUGUAUGAAGUAGCUCAUUAUGCUUGCCCAUCCAAAGGUAAUCAUCAUGUUAUGAGUUUACUAGCUCCAAAUGAAAGUUGGGAUCUAUUCUGCAAUAUGUUUCCUCUUGAAAAGUAUAGGGCACCAAGAUUUGAAAGCUUUAGGAGUCAUUUGUCCAAUGUUGUGGAUAAAUGUGAUGGACUGCCACAGGCAAUUGUUAUAGUUGCAGAGCGUUUAUCGGAAUGCAAAGACAACAUAAAACAUGAAUUGAAAAAGAUUGAAAAAGAAAUUGAGUUGUUGGGAAUUCUAGAUUAUAGUGCACUCACACCCAUUUACAAUCAGUUGCCAGAAUAUUUGAAAGUUUGCUUUUUAUAUCUUGGAAUCUUUCCGAAGCGUAGUGAAAUCAAAGUCAAAACGCUUCUUAGGUUAUGGGUUGCAGAAGGAUUUGUGAAGCCAUCAUGGAAUAAGGAGUUAGAAGGAAUUGCUUAUUGUUACUUAAAGGACCUCAUUGAUAGAAAUCUUGUGUUAAUAAGCAAACAGACUUUUGAUGGCAAAAUUAAGACUUGUAGGGUGCACAGUGUCAUGCAUAACAUCUGUUUCAGAGAGGCUCAAAAAGACGGAAUUUUAUGUGCAGUAAAUACUAGGCAACUCCCAAGGUGGUCAUUAAAUAAUGCAUUUGCAAAUUCAUGCCGUUGGUUAAGUUUAUGCAAACAUAGUUUUGACUAUUAUGUGUUGUUUAAAUUAAACAAACCUCGCUCCGUUUUCUUCUUUCAAGACAAUUCUGAAAUUUUGGUACCGUUCAAGCUGUUAAGAGUUUUGGCAUUCGUUCCAUCUCCAUUCCUCCAAAGAGUGCCAAUGCAUUUAGGGGAUUUGCUUUUUCUGAGAUAUUUAUCUAUAACACAAUGGUUUGAAGGUCUCAACAGUGUAGUGUCAACUAAUCUGAAUUUGCAGACUCUUGUUGUUUGCCGAAGUGACAUUGAAUCACAACUUGGAAUACCUACUCUCCAUUUGCCAUUAACAAUUUGGGAGUCACCACAAUUAAGGCAUCUUGAACUUGGUGCUUUGUAUACGGUUGAUCCUCCCAGUGUGGUAAAAGAUAAUUUGCAAACAUUAUCUUGGGUAGGUCCAACUCAUUGCAGAAAGGAAGUGUAUUCCAAUUUUCCCAACAUAAAAAAACUAAAAAUAUUCUGUAAAGAAGACUUAGAGCCCAGUCACAUUGGUGGAUUUUCCAGCAAACACAUCAUUUUGGAUAACUUGGGCUAUUUAGGACGACUUGAGAGUCUAAUGAUUUCAGUUUCUGUUGGCUGCAUUGUAACAUUUCCUGAACGGUGUAUGUUUCCUUCACAACUGAAGAAAUUGAGUUUGAGUGGGACUAAUCUUUCUGGAUGGGAUUUAACAAUAAUUGGCUCAUUGGAACGUCUUGAGGUGCUGAAGCUGGAAAAUGCUUUCCAUAAAGAAGUGUGGAGAGUAGAUAAAGGAGGAUUUUAUGGAUUAAAGUUGUUGCUCCUUAAAGAUAAAAAACUCAAGAGGUUGGAAGCUUACAGAGAUGGUUUCCCAUGUCUUGAGCACCUAGUUCUAAGAUGUUGUCAUUAUUUGGAAGAGAUUCCAAGCAGUUUUGGCGAAAUUUUCUGCUUGAAGUCAAUCGAGUUGGAUAUGUGUAGCCGCCCUUCCAUUGUUGCUUCUGCCAAGGAUAUUGAAGAGAAGCUAAAGACAAAUUUUGGACAAGCAAAUUUUGAGAUCAAAAUCCAGGAGCCUGAAUAUGAUGAAUCAGGGAACAUAGUAGAGUGUGAUGAAGAUGUUGGGAGAAAGAGUGUCUGUAAAAGACAACUUGGUCAGGCUCAUAGUGAAUUAACUGCAAUGAGAAAACUGGAGCUUGAAUAUGAUGAAUCAGGGAACAUUUUAGAGUGUGAUGAAGAUGUUGGGGUUGGACAAUUUGAACAAGAAAAUUUUGAGAUGUGUAACCUUCUCUGGAAUUUGCAUGAUUUAUCAUAAAUCAAAAUCUGAUGAUGAAUCACAUACAGUAUACUGAUAUAGAAGAUGACUUGGCAGGAAUCAUAGUGAGUUAACUGCAAUUACAAAAAUGGUAUGUACACAGAUACAUAUCUGCAAAGUCAAUUGGCUCUACACUUUAAAUGUUACUACUGAAGGAUCCUGCACUGUUUUCCCUGUACGAUGAUAUGCUGAGAUUGGUAUGCUAAUUGUAUACCUUUAAAAAAAAAUAAAAUAAAAAUUCCAGACUGGGAAGCUGCUAUUGCUCAAAGUAUUGGAGAUCUGGAGAGAUAUCCUUUGACACCCAAACACAUUCUUGGGAGAGCUAGUGGAAGAUGGUGAACUUACAUUAGUCCACUGAAAGUCAUAAGAUCAAGC